ACUCAAAGGAAUUGACGGGGGCCCGCACAAGCGGUGGAACAUGUGGUUUAAUUCGAUGCAACGCGAAGAACCUUACCUGGGCUUGACAUCUAGGGAAUCCUGUGGAAACACGGGAGUGCCUUCGGGAACCCUAAGACAGGUGGUGCACGGUUGUCGUCAGCUCGUGUCGUGAGAUGUUGGGUUAAGUCCCGCAACGAGCGCAACCCUCGUUGUCUGUUGCUACAGACUGUAAAGUGCUGAGCACUCAGGCGAGACUGCCGGUGACAAACCGGAGGAAGGUGGGGAUGACGUCAAAUCAUCAUGCCCCUUAUGUCCAGGGCGACACACGUGUUACAAUGGGAUGGGACAACGGGCAGCCAGCCAGCGAUGGUGAGCUAAUCCCUUAAACCCACCCUCAGUUCGGAUUGGAGUCUGCAACUCGACUCCAUGAAGUCGGAAUCGCUAGUAACCGCGGAUCAGCCAUGCCGCGGUGAAUACGUUCCCGGGCCUUGUACACACCGCCCGU
rnacentral:rRNA from 1 species